AUUAGAUAAAGUCAAGUCCACUUUUUGUUUUGGUAUGCGAGUCAAGUCCACUAUUUAAUUUUUGAUAAGCAAGCAAGUCCACUUGUCUACUUCCAACGCGGAAUCGCAGUUGCACUUACACCCGGCGGCCAUUAUCUCCUUCUCCAACUUGCACACACACUUUAAUUAUGCUAAGCAUUGCUAAAUUUUCUGCAACCACUCAAUGCUAAAUUUUCAAAAUCUCGCUCUUGUGCUGACGGUGUUGCUUCUGCUAUGGAAGCCUGCCAUAUGCAAAAAUGGGUGCACGGAAAAGUGUGGCUCCAUUCACAUUCAAUUUCCAUUUCACCUCAGAAAUAGCAAGUUGAAUCACACCAUGGGCUAUCCUCGUGGGUUCGAUCUGUUGUGUACGGAUGCAGAUGAGACUGUGAUGGAUCUGCCUUCUGUUCCAAUAAAAUUGUAUGUCCAAAGCAUAGAUUACAAGUCACAGCAAAUCCAACUCUACGACCCUCAAAAUUGCCUUCCUAGGCAGCUCAUGAAGCUCGGCAAUUCCUCUAUUUCACCAUUUCAAUUCCUGUCAAAUAGGGACCGGGAUGUUUCCUUCUUCCGCUGCAACUCAAUGUCAUGCCCAAUUUUGCAACUUGAUUCUGAAAAUGACAUUCUUGAUCCCGAGAUAGUAUCGUGCACAAAGUUGAGUGAUGUUUACUCCGUCCAGUGGUAUGUACGGGAUUAUUUGAACAACACCGUGGUUGCGGAAUGGACCAGCCCCAAUUGCAGUUCCUGUGAAGCACAAGGAAGUAAAUGUAGAUACAAGAAUGGUACCCAAAGUGAAGUUGAAUGUUUUGUUUGCCCCACAAACGGGCUUCCAACAUCAACUAUUGUACUUAUCGCAGCAGGGGGAUUCGGUGGUUUCCUUCUUGUGCUGCUUUUGGCCAAGGCUUUGUUUCAUGUGCAUGACCAUUAUAAGAUGAAAGGAGAAGACCAAGCUCGAAUAGAGAAAUUCUUGGAGGAUUACAAGGCAAUGAAGCCUACAAGAUUCACUUACGCUGACAUUAAGAGAAUCACAAAUGGGUUUAGUGAGAGUUUGGGAGAAGGAGCUCAUGGAGCAGUGUUCAAGGGAAUGCUCUCCCGCGAUAUUCUCGUUGCUGUGAAGAUACUCAAUGACGCUGUUGGAGAUGGAAAGGAUUUCAUAAACGAAGUGGGAACAAUGGGCAAAAUUCAUCAUGUUAAUGUUGUUCGCUUGCUUGGAUUCUGUGCUGAUGGAUUCCACCGUGCUCUUGUCUAUGAUUUCUUCCCAAAUGGAUCACUGCAGAGAUUCUUGGCUCCACCAGACAACAAGGAUGUUUUCCUUGGUUGGGAGAAGUUGCAACAAAUUGCUCUUGGUGUUGCCAAAGGGAUUGAGUAUCUCCAUCUGGGCUGUGAUCAUAGAAUACUUCACUUUGACAUCAAUCCUCACAAUGUUUUGUUAGAUGAUCACUUCAAUCCAAAGAUCACUGAUUUUGGACUUGCUAAACUGUGUCCUAAAAAUCAAAGUACUGUGUCUGUGACUGCAGCCAGGGGAACCUUAGGCUACAUUGCCCCUGAAGUUUUCUCAAGAAACUUUGGUAAUGUCUCUUAUAAGUCUGACAUUUACAGCUAUGGAAUGUUGCUUCUGGAGAUGGUAGGAGGAAGAAAGAAUACAAAUAUGUCAGUGGAGGAAAGUUUCCAAGUUCUGUACCCUGAGUGGAUCCAUAAUUUGGUGGAAGCACGAGACGUGGAAGUUACAAUUGAGGAGGAGGGAGAUGCUAAAAUUGCUAGGAAACUUGCCAUUAUAGGACUUUGGUGUAUUCAGUGGAACCCAGUGGACCGUCCAUCCAUGAAAACUGUGGUACAAAUGCUUGAAGGAGAUGGAGACAAGUUAAUUGCACCCCCUACUCCUUUUGAUAAGACCGGUUCCUCAAGAACAAAUGCAGCUGUUCAAACAAGACACCAGAAUUUCGAGUUGGAAAUUAUUCAUGAAAUGGAAGAGUAAAUACAGUCUCACCGUUUCAUCAAAUGUAAUUCGUACUUUAAAGAAGUUGUAAUACAAUAAGCCAUUUCCCUUGUUAAGGUUUCUAAUCUGUUUUUUAUUGUUUCGCAUGCUUAUGCUAUUAUACUAAUACAAUUUUAGUUUUGGGUUUUGGUCCCAAUAGAUGAUAGUCUAAAAGGGCUGGCUGAAUUGCAACACCAGAUGUUUUCUUUCUCUA